rnacentral:rRNA from 1 species
GGCGAACGCUGGCGGCGUGCUUAACACAUGCAAGUCGAACGGAAAGGCCCUGCUUUUGUGGGGUGCUCGAGUGGCGAACGGGUGAGUAACACGUGAGUAACCUGCCCUUGACUUUGGGAUAACUUCAGGAAACUGGGGCUAAUACCGGAUAGGAGCUCCUGCUGCAUGGUGGGGGUUGGAAAGUUUCGGCGGUUGGGGAUGGACUCGCGGCUUAUGAGCUUGUUGGUGGGGUAGUGGCUUACCAAGGCUUUGACGGGUAGCCGGCCUGGGAGGGUGACCGGCCACAUUGGGCCUGAGGUACGGCCCAGACUCCUACGGGGGGCAGCAGUGGGGAAUAUUGCACAAUGGGCGGACGCCUGAUGCAGCAACGCCGCGUGCGGGAUGACGGCCUUCGGGUUGUAAACCGCUUUCGCCUGUGACGAAGCGUGAGUGACGGUAAUGGGUAAAGAAGCACCGGCUAACUACGUG